UCGUCCCACUCGCUUCAACCGCGUCCACGACAAGUGGGGGCGACUGUGACGUCGUGGCACAACAGCUCGCCGCGUAUGCGCCGAGACCAGAGGUCAAAUCUUGCUUAUGCGCACCGGCCGCGCCCACGCGUUCUUACUACUUUAAUUCUUAUUUGCUUAAUUGUACUAUAUUGUUAUAUUUAAAGUCAUUAUACGUAUUUACAUGUUAUACAGUCCACUAGUAUUAUUUACUCCACCUGCUGAGCUAUCGUCGUUACAUAUGGUCCUUCUCCCAAGAAAAAUUGAACUGGACAAAGAAGACAAAGGACUUUGGAGGACAUCGUACACGUCACCGAGUGACUCAGUGAUUAUUAUCAAGUUUCUUCGCUGUGAACAUUGUUACGUCGUGAUAUAUCGGCACGGCUUGAGACUUUUCGGCCGUCUUAGCUGACGUCACCCAACUGACACGAGAAGAAACGGAAUUUGGGCUACUCAUCAUUCGUCAUCAUAACGGACAGCAAAUACACGUGUUCGGAUUGUCGUCGUGCAUUGAGAUAUCUGACAAGAAUACUCCUCGGCACAGUCAUCAUCAGUGGUUUGCACCGGAAAACAGUGAGCUCGUUCCAAUUCCUUAUUUAAUCAUCUCAUCAUCAUAAUCAUAUUCAUUAUCAUCCAUAUCCUGCAUUUCAUUCAUUUUUUACCUCAUAAUAAUUAAAGAACGGUGUUACAUUUUUUGCAAGUCAUCUCCACAUUAUUUCAUCAUAUUUCAUCCCAUUUUACCAUUUAUUUCAACUGUUUCAUCUCUUCAUUCAUUCAUUUCACUAUAAGUUAAUCAUAUCCAUUACAGUGUCGUUUUAUAUUUCAACCAAAAUCGAAUAUUAUUAUCUUAUAACGUUAACAUUACACAGCGAUUAUCAGUGCACAAACGCCUUGCAUUUUUAAAUAGCAAUACGCAUUCUGCUACAAUCUUGCUCGUGCACUUUAUCUUGCAACUCGUUGCUAUCGUUUUAUUGGAAGUGUUAACUUGCUGUUAGUUUAUAUAUUUCCUUAGUGCUUUAUUACCAAAAUCUAUCGCCUUCUCUUAAAAUGUCUGACAUUAAAAGCCUUAUUAAGAAACGUGCUUCAAUUAAAGCAAAGCUUACGCAAUUUUCUUCAUACUUGAACAUUUCCAAGUCAUGUGAACAGUUGAGCGAAGUUCAGAUUGUUGAGGUUGAGUAUAGACUUAAUACUAUCGAAAAUCUAUAUGAUAAAUACGACGUGUUACAGGCCGACAUGGAAGAGAUGGUGGACGACCUUAGCGAGCAAUAUGCGGAGCGUGAGGAGUUCGAAAAGCAGUACUACAGCUUGGUGGCUGCAGCACGUCAGCUGAUCAGCAAUGCUCGCAAGCAAGCUUCAGGGAACUCCAUAGCCGAGCGCUGGUGAAUGUGUCGGAUGCUAAAGGCAACGUUCAUACUGCACGAACCCUGCUGGAUAACGGGAGUACGACUAACCUUAUGUCACAGGAGUUGGCUCGUAAACUUAACAUUUCCACCUAUACAGUCGAGUCUAAGUUGCAGGUGUUUACCGACGCAUCUGAAAGGGCGUAUGGUGCUUGUUUGCAUGUCCGCAGCGUAUCGCUUAGUGGUGAGGUUCAUAUACACCUUACUGCUACAAGCAAAUUAGCGCCGGUCAAGUCAACGACCAUCCCCCGACUCGAACUUUGUGCUGCGUUGUUGAGUUCAAGAUUAUACGUAAAGGUACGUCAGUCACUUACACUACAUAUUGACGGCGUCUAUUUCUGGUGUGAUUCCACCAUAGUCUUGGGUUGGUUGUCCGCCUCACCCACGCAACUUAAGACCUUCGUUCGCCAUCGUGUCUCUGAAAUUCAGGAAACUGCGGAGGGUAGAACUUGGCGUUACGUUCCGUCACCAAAAAAACCCCGCAGACCUCGCUUCGCGUGGACUCAGAGCAGAUAAGCUACUUUCUUCUUCGCUAUGGUGGUCGGGACCACAAUUUUUAUUCAAGGAUUCAUCUACUUGGCCUCAAUUUCCUGAAUCGCAUCAACCCACUCAAAAUCUACCAGAAACAGUAACUUCUUCUUUUCUUCUUUUCAUACCUUCAAUCAUAACGACAAUAUCAUUUCUAAAUUAUUUACAACAUUUAAUAAAAUACAACGUUUUACCGCAUACUUACUUUUCAUUAACAUUAAAAUUAAAAAACAAACAGUUUGUCCUGGUCCACUUACAUCUAAAGAGUUGAAUAGUGCAUUACACAUUAUAUGUAUUAAGAUUUUGCCAACAGGAGUCAUUUCCUUCGUGUUGGAGUUGUAACAAUUCCUUUUAUGAUUACAAUAUAUUAAACACUAUUCUUUAAGCAACUAAACAUAUUAUUUGUAAAUUCUUAUUUGACAUGUAUCACCUACGACUUUUACAUCUUUUACCCCAAUUGCUUCUUAUAAAACUUCGUCACCAUUCACCCAUCAUGAUAGCUGACCGUUGGGACUUAUCAAGUGCUUUACAUGUGUGUUUGUGUGUUUGGCCACAAGGGCCGUCCAUCUUGAACCUUUAUCCGGCUUUUCUGGCUGCCAUGAACCGCUUUAUUGCUCGUAGGGGGAAGCCAAGCAACAUUUUCUCAUGUCUAGCAUUGUCCGCGGUUAAGUCAACCAAAGACCAUCUCAGACGCAUCCUUGGCUUAACGAAUUUAACGUUUGAAGAGAUGGCAACAUGUUUAAUUCAAGUAGAAGCUAUCUUAAAUUCCAGGCCCUUAACUCCACUUUCCGAUGACCUUUCCGACCUUAUUCCCUUGACGCCUGCCCAUUUCCUUAUUGGACGAUCGCUCAUCUUGUUGCCUCACCCACAGGUCCAGAACGCUCACGUGAACAACUUGCAGCGGUUCCGUCGCAUCGAAUGUUUAAAGCAACAUUUCUGGUCACGCUUCUCACAUGAGUACAUUUUGUGGCUCCAACAACGAACCGAAUGAACGAAAUGGCUCCGAUCGUCAGGGGAACUUACAGAAGGAACCCUUGUCGUCAUUAAGGAUAAAAGCUCACCUCCUCUGUUAUGGCUUUUAGGACGGAUCGUUAAGGUGCUUCCUGGUAGAGACGGCAUUGCACGAGUCGCCGACAUCCGCACACGUAAGGGUGUCAUUCGGCGAGCGUUCAACACUAUUUGCCCGUUACCCGUCGCCACUGCUGUUGAAGACACUUCAACGGGGGGAGUAUGUUGAGUCGUCCCACUCGCUUCAACCGCGUCCACGACAAGUGGGGGCGACUGUGACGUCGUGGCACAACAGCUCGCCGCGUAUGCGCCGAGACCAGAGGUCAAAUCUUGCUUAUGCGCACCGGCCGCGCCCACGCGUUCUUACUACUUUAAUUCUUAUUUGCUUAAUUGUACUAUAUUGUUAUAUUUAAAGUCAUUAUACGUAUUUACAUGUUAUACA